UGGGGAAUAUUGGACAAUGGGCGCAAGCCUGAUCCAGCCAUGCCGCGUGAGUGAUGAAGGCCCUAGGGUUGUAAAGCUCUUUCACCGGUGAAGAUAAUGACGGUAACCGGAGAAGAAGCCCCGGCUAACUUCGUGCCAGCAGCCGCGGUAAUACGAAGGGGGCUAGCGUUGUUCGGAUUUACUGGGCGUAAAGCGCACGUUGGCGGACUAUUAAGUCAGGGGUGAAAUCCCGGGGCUCAACCCCGGAACUGCCUUUGAUACUGGUAGUCUUGAGUUCGAGAGAGGUGAGUGGAAUUCCGAGUGUAGAGGUGAAAUUCGUAGAUAUUCGGAGGAACACCAGUGGCGAAGGCGGCUCACUGGCUCGAUACUGACGCUGAGGUGCGAAAGCGUGGGGAGCAAACAGG
rnacentral:rRNA from 1 species